rnacentral:rRNA from 1 species
UAUUAAAGGUCUCGCCUGCCCAGUGAUAUUAUUUUUAACGGCCGCGGUAUCCUAACCGUGCAAAGGUAGCGUAAUCAUUUGUCUCCUAAAUAGGGACUUGUAUGAAUGGCUAACUGAGGGCUUACCUGUCUCCUAAGGCCAAUCAAUGAAACUGAUCUUCCAGUACAAAAGCUGAAAUAAACACAUAAGACGAGAAGACCCUGUGGAGCUUAAAACCAACACUAUAAACACAUAUCUCCAACCCCCCGGGGUUACACCCAAUCCUAAUCUCUAUCAUAGCAAAGGUUUUUAGUUGGGGCGACUUUGGAACAAAACAAAACUUCCAUGCCAGGGACCCAUCCCUAUCAAGGCCGACAUGCCAAAAUAUAAAAUUUUGACCCAGCAUAUCUGAUCAACGAACCAAGUUACCCCAGGGAUAACAGCGCCAUCCUCUUCAAGAGUCCCUAUCGACAAGAGGGUUUACGACCUCGAUGUUGGAUCAGGACACCCCGGUGGUGCAACCGCUACCAAAGGUUCGUUUGUUCAACGAU